rnacentral:lncRNA from 1 species
CACUGGGAAAAGCUGAAAGCAACAAUAAAACAGGAAGACUGCGAUAAGAGAUAGGGUGGCACCAUAAAGGAAACUACAGCCUUGAGUCUGUAAGAGUUGUACAGAGCUAUUGCUAAUAGGACAUUCUGGAGGUCAUAAAGACACGUGACGUGAUGUAACAAAAGCAAGUAUUCCUACUAGUCAUUGUCUAGGUCUGGACACCAUGUUACAAAAAGUGCUCCACACAUUGUCUCACUAUAGUUAGAAUUGCAUGGAAACCAGGUCAGCAACAUAACAGAUUGACAUGGAUAUCUCUCUGGUAAAGAGAGGGAGGGAUGUCAACAUAUAUGUAAAUCCCUUUGAGUAUGUUACCAGAAACAUCAUCAUCUGACUGGCCCACCCUAUAUGGCCCUUGGAGGAAAAAAAUAGUUCUUCUGCAGGACAAUUACCGAACAGCUGUUAUCAUGACUGCGGAAAUCAGAUGAAAUAUUUCGUAUUUGAUGCUCUCAGAU